CCUACGGGAGGCAGCAGUGGGGAAUAUUGGACAAUGGGCGAAAGCCUGAUCCAGCCAUGCCGCGUGUGUGAAGAAGGCCUUCGGGUUGUAAAGCACUUUCAGUGGGGAAGAAAGCCUUGGGGCUAAUACCCUCGAGGAAGGACAUCACCCACAGAAGAAGCACCGGCUAACUCCGUGCCAGCAGCCGCGGUAAUACGGAGGGUGCGAGCGUUAAUCGGAAUUACUGGGCGUAAAGCGCGCGUAGGCGGUCUGAUAAGCCGGUUGUGAAAGCCCCGGGCUCAACCUGGGAACGGCAUCCGGAACGGUCAGGCUAGAGUGCAGGAGAGGAAGGUAGAAUUCACGGUGUAGCGGUGAAAUGCGUAGAGAUCGGGAGGAAUACCAGUGGCGAAGGCGGCCUUCUGGACUGACACUGACGCUGAGGUGCGAAAGCGUGGGUAGCAAACAGGAUUAGAUACCCCAGUAGUC
rnacentral:rRNA from 1 species